AGAGUUUGAUCAUGGCUCAGGAUGAACGCUGGCGGCGUGCUUAACACAUGCAAGUCGAGCGAAGCGAUUUAAAUGAAGUUUUCGGAUGGAAUUUAAAUUGACUUAGCGGCGGACGGGUGAGUAACGCGUGGGUAACCUGCCUCAUACAGGGGGAUAACAGUUGGAAACGGCUGCUAAUACCGCAUAAGCACACAGUGCCGCAUGGUACGGUGUGAAAAACUCCGGUGGUAUGAGAUGGACCCGCGUCUGAUUAGGUAGUUGGUGAGGUAACGGCCCACCAAGCCGACGAUCAGUAGCCGACCUGAGAGGGUGACCGGCCACAUUGGGACUGAGACACGGCCCAAACUCCUACGGGAGGCAGCA
rnacentral:rRNA from 1 species